rnacentral:misc_RNA from 1 species
AACCCAUAUCGAGAGAAAUUAACCUGCGGUUCAUCAAAGCUUGAGGAACAUCCCCUUGCACAAUUCUUUGAGCAAGCCCCUCCGAUAUAGCAGUUUUUCCAACACCAGGUUCACCAAUCAAUACAGGAUUGUUUUUUGUUCGUCUUGAUAAAAUUUGUAUGCAUCUGCGAAUCUCAUCAUCCCUACCAAUAACAGGAUCAAGUUUCCCAGCACGCGCCAUAGCUGUCAAAUCCUUUCCAUAUUUCUCCAAAGAUUCAUACUUGCCCUCAGGAUCUUGGUCAAUAACACUUUGUCGUCCUCUUAUAGAUUCUAUGGCUGAUUUUAGGGUCUUGAGAG